rnacentral:piRNA from 1 species
UACCAUAGAUGGAGAAACCAAAG